GUGGGGAAUAUUGCACAAUGGGGGAAACCCUGAUGCAGCAACGCCGCGUGAAGGAAGAAGUAUUUCGGUAUGUAAACUUCUAUCAGCAGGGAAGAAAAUGACGGUACCUGACUAAGAAGCCCCGGCUAACUACGUGCCAGCAGCCGCGGUAAUACGUAGGGGGCAAGCGUUAUCCGGAUUUACUGGGUGUAAAGGGAGCGUAGGUGGUAUGGCAAGUCAGAUGUGAAAGCCCGGGGCUCAACCCCGGGACUGCAUUUGAAACUGUCAGACUAGAGUGCAGGAGAGGUAAGUGGAAUUCCUAGUGUAGCGGUGAAAUGCGUAGAUAUUAGGAGGAACACCAGUGGCGAAGGCGGCUUACUGGACUGUAACUGACACUGAGGCUCGAAAGCGUGGGGAGCAAACAGGAUUAGAUACCCUUGUAGUCC
rnacentral:rRNA from 1 species